rnacentral:lncRNA from 1 species
UGCCUCGAUUGGAAGAAGGGGUGAUAGCAUCAGCUCUAAAAAUAUCUGAAUUGGAAAUCACAACUAUUUACUUUUAUCAAAAAGCAUUUGUUUUUUUCCCUGAAUUUUCACAUUUGUGCUGAUGGUGGACAUUAAUGGUGAUGAAAACAAAGAAGAGACAUGUGAGAUGGUCGGCGGAGAACUGUCCCACAGUCAUUCCUCAAGAGGCCCCCAGCUCAGACUGCGUGUUCAGCAAAGUGUUUUGGGAGUGCUGCUUCCUCUGCCUGGCACGGGAUGACCUCACACUCUCCCUGCCCCUAAGUCCCUUUGCAGUUGCUGCGCGAAUACUCUGAAGAUACCUAGG